rnacentral:rRNA from 1 species
AACCUGCGGAAGGAUCAUUACAGUUAUUACUUUCUACCAGCGCUUAAUUGCGCGGUGGAAAAUAACCCAUACACACAGUGUUUUUUGUUUAUUACAAGAACUAUUGCUUUGGCUUGGCGCAAGUCGGGCCAGAGGUUACUACGUAAACUUCAAUUUUUAAUUGAAUUGUUAUUUUAAUACAGUUGUCAAUUUGUUUGAUUAAAUUCAAAAAUAAUCUUCAAAACUUUCAACAACGGAUCUCUUGGUUCUCGCAUCGAUGAAGAACGCAGCGAAAUGCGAUAAGUAAUAUGAAUUGCAGAUUUUCGUGAAUCAUCGAAUCUUUGAACGCACAUUGCGCCCUUUGGUAUUCCAAAGGGCAUGCCUGUUUGAGCGUCAUUUCUCUCUCAAACCCUUGGGUUUGGUAUUGAGUGAUACUCUUAGUCGGACUAGGCGUUUGCUUGAAAAGUAUUGGCAAGAGUGUACUAGAUAGUACUACCUGUUAUUCAAUGUAUUAGGUUUAUCCAACUCGUUGAACGACUGGGCGUAAGUUUCUGGUAAUUGGCUCGGCCUUACAACAACAAACAAGUUGACCU